GACGUAGGGGACGAGCGUUGUCCGGAUUCAUUGGGCGUAAAGCGCGCGUAGGCGGCCACGCAAGUCGGGUGUGAAAUCCCGGAGCUCAACUCCGGAACUGCACUCGAAACUGCGCGGCUUGAGGUAGGUAGGGGAGAUCGGAAUUCCUGGUGUAGCGGUGGAAUGCGCAGAUAUCAGGAGGAACACCGGUGGCGAAGGCGGAUCUCUGGGCCUGUCCUGACGCUGAGGCGCGAAAGCUAGGGGAGCGAACAGG
rnacentral:rRNA from 1 species